AGAGAGAGAGAGAGAGAGAGAGAGGAUGGUUAUUAUUCGUUGGAAGAAAGCAACGGUUAAGAUUCAAGAAUCGCAGGAUGAUAAACAUUUGGCCUUUUGGCUGCAGCGAGAGGCCGCGGGAAGUGCCACGCCGGUGUCAGCAUGUACUUGAAUACAGCUGGACUUUGAAAGUGGUGCUCUGCUUAGAUUUUUCGGAUUCCACGCCUCCGGUUAGGCGGUUACUCAUACAUUCUCCCGCAUCCCUCG
rnacentral:lncRNA from 1 species